rnacentral:rRNA from 1 species
CUAGCCAUGCGAGUCAUAUGUAGCAAUACAUGGCGUACUGCUCAGUAACACGUGGAUAACCUGCCCUUGGGUCCGGCAUAACCCCGGGAAACUGGGGAUAAUUCCGGAUAACGCACAUAUGCUGGAAUGCUUUAUGCGUCAAAUGGAUUCGUCUGCCCAAGGAUGGGUCUGCGGCCUAUCAGGUAGUAGUGGGUGUAAUGUACCUACUAGCCGACGACGGGUACGGGUUGUGAGAGCAAGAGCCCGGAGAUGGAUUCUGAGACAUGAAUCCAGGCCCUACGGGGCGCAGCAGGCGCGAAAACUUUACAAUGCGGGAAACCGUGAUAAGGGGACACCGAGUGCCAGCAUCAUAUGCUGGCUGUCCAGGUGUGUAAAAUACACCUGUUAGCAAGGGCCGGGCAAGACCGGUGCCAGCCGCCGCGGUAACACCGGCGGCCCGAGUGGUGAUCGUGAUUAUUGGGUCUAAAGGGUCCGUAGCCGGUUUGGUCAGUCCUCCGGGAAAUCUGAUAGCUCAACUAUUAGGCUUUCGGGGGAUACUGCCAGACUUGGAACCGGGAGAGGUAAGAGGUACUACAGGGGUAGGAGUGAAAUCUUGUAAUCCCUGUGGGACCACCUGUGGCGAAGGCGUCUUACCAGAACGGGUUCGACGGUGAGGGACGAAAGCUG